rnacentral:tRNA from 1 species
UGCUUACGGGCUAGGGCGGGAUUGUGAUUCCAGAUGUCGGGGGUUCGAGUCCCCUCAGCCACCCCA